CCGGCUCAAAGGUUUUGUUUUAAGACCACAUGAGUAAACAGGUUAGUUAGACUAUCAGUGCAAUUCACAGCCCACCAGAAAAGAAGCACACCUUGUCAAGCUGACUUCUGUAUAAGGCUGUACUUCAGUGGUCCUUGGGAUGAUAAUCAUGUUUUUGUCAGAUGGGUUUGGAGUCAACCGAAAAUCCAGGGCAAGAGCCAUAGCCAAGAGCCAAUGUUACACAGGUUUGUUGUUGUUGUUGUUGUUGUUGUUGUUAUUUUUUUAAGUAGUGACUGAAACUUAUGAAGUCAGGGAAACAAACAGGCUGUAGACAGAUAGUAUUAACAAUAAAAUGUAAAUCUCAAAUAUUUAAACAUGUAACCGUGAGUAAGGUAAAAUGAUUUAGAAAACACACAGGAAAGACUGAUUAUUUCAUGGUGACAUGCAAAAUCCAUCAUACCUCAUUUUAGAAACAGUGCUAUUGAGGAAAAAAUCCUGGGUUUGUUCUCUCCUGUGAUCAAAUCAAUUUGUCUCUAUCACACAGUCUCAUAUGAUGCUUAGUUCCUAACCAGUUGUAUUAGACACACUCCCCAAUUCAAACAUGCCCUGCUGGAAUGUCUCCUAACCAAAAUUAGACCAUCAGCAGUACUAUCUUCAAAAUUCAAGAAUCUGUACAGUUUAUGAAAAAAGUACUCAUCCUACAAGAUGAGGGGCAGAGUUCACGUUCCACCACCUUCUAACUAGAUAACCAGGGACAACUCCUUUAAUGUCCACAAACUUUAGUUCCUUAAUGAGUAAAUUCAUCAGUUCUUCAUACAACCAAGCAUGAUGACCUUUAGUAAAAGUAGCAUACAAAAAAAAUUGUUUAAGGAAAUAGUUGUAUUUAGAGGUCAAAUACUUUUACAGCAGAAAGUUCUAUUAUUGAAGUCAUGAAUCUCAUCCUCUUGCCCUGGUAAUGCUGUUUUGACAGGUUUAGCAAUUAUAAAAGUCUGCACAACUGAGUAGUCAUGUAGGAAGAACAUUUUAUUUAGCAUCUGUCUAUGUGGAAGUGAGUUGGCUAUUAUAAUAAAAAUGUUUCCUUCCACACAGCCACUUUGGAGAAUGUGAGGUGGUCUACUCCAUACUUCUGUGAGCACCAGGUCCCCAAGCUGAGACUUUAGUGCUAGCCUAGAAAACAAAAGUGGCACUUCUGCCUCUUGCAAAUUCCUGGAGUUUGAUGCUUCAGCCGCUUUUCAGAUGACACUAGUUAAAUAUGAAAUGAAUGAGUUCUGUUGAUAACAAACCACAGACCCCAGCACCAAAUUUGGAAGGGUAGAGAGAAAAUAAAAUGGUU
rnacentral:lncRNA from 1 species